rnacentral:rRNA from 1 species
AUGUCUGCAUCUACUUCAGCUAUACAAGCUGAUAUUUGGAAGCAUCUGUGGGAGCUGCAAGUGCCACGUAAAAUUCAAAUAUUUUGCUGGCGUGCCCUACGUGGAGUUGUCCCUUUGUUUUCGAUUUUGGCAAACAAACACCUCCCCAUCAGUGAUGUAUGUCCAGUAUGUCGUAAGGGACCGGAGGACAUGAGACAUUUACUUUUCCAAUGCGAUUUGGCAAAGGAGCUAUGGAGGGGUCUCGGGCUCUUGAAUCAUAUAGAGCAAGCGACACACGUGGAUCGCUCAGGAUCAGCAAUAUUGGAAUUCUUACUUCUGGAACCGCAAACCAAAACCCUGCUAAUGCCAAGUCUGAAUGUGAAAGAAGUCAUAGCAGCGGGCUGCUGGUAUAUUUGGUGGCUAAGG